GACGAACGCUGGCGGCGUGCUUAACACAUGCCAGUCGAACGGAAAGGCCCCUUCGGGGGUACUCGAGUGGCGAACGGGUGAGUAACACGUGCGUAACCUGCCCUUGACUUCGGGAUAACUUCAGUAAACUGGGGCUAAUACCGGAUAGGAAUCCUUGCUGCAUGGUGGGGGUUGGAAAGCUUCGGCGGUUUUGGAUGGACUCGCGGCUUAUCAGCUUGUUGGUGGGGUAGUGGCUUACCAAGGCUUUGACGGGUAGCCGGACUGGGAGGGCGACCGGCCACAGUGGGACUGAGAUACGGCCCAGACUCCGACGGGAGGCAGAAGUGGGGAAUAUUGCACAAGGGGCGGAAGCCUGAUGCAGCAACGCCGCGUGCGGGAUGACGGCCUUCGGGUUGUAAACCGCUUUCAGCAGGGGCGAAGCUUGUGGUGACGGUACCUGCAGAAGAAGCACCGGCUAACUACGUG
rnacentral:rRNA from 1 species